CCGUUCAAUACUGCGGAGCUCGAGGGCAGAAGAGGGGGGUGGAAUUGCUGGUGUAGUGGUGAAAUGCGUAGAUAUCAGCAGGAACACCUGUGGCGAAAGCGGCCCCCUGGUCUGCUCCUGACACUCAGACGCGAAAGCUAGGGGAGUGAACGGGAUUAGAAACCCCGGUAAUCCUAGCCGUAAACGAUGGAUGCUAGGUGUGGGUGGUAUUGACCCCAUCCGUGCCGAAGCCAACGCGUUAAGCAUCCCGCCUGGGGACUACGGCCGCAAGGUUAAAACUCAAAGGAAUUGACGGGGACCCGCACAAGCAGCGGAGCGUGUGGUUUAAUUCGAUGCUACACGAAGAACCUUACCCAGGUUUGACAUGCAGGUAGUAGUGAAGUGAAAGCGGAACGAUCCUUCGGGAAGCCUGCACAGGUGCUGCAUGGCUGUCGUCAGCUCGUGCCGUGAGGUGUUUGGUUAAGUCCACUAACGAGCGCAACCCCUGUCGUCAGUUACAUGUGUCUGGCGAGACUGCCGGUCUUAAACCGGAGGAAGGUGGGGAUGACGUCAAGUCAGCAUGGCCUUUAUAUCUGGG
rnacentral:rRNA from 1 species